rnacentral:rRNA from 1 species
UGUCCCUACGGGAGGCAGCAGUGGGGAAUAUUGCACAAUGGGGGAAACCCUGAUGCAGCAACGCCGCGUGAGUGAAGAAGGUUUUCGGAUUGUAAAGCUCUGUCAGCAGGGAAGAAAGAAAUGACGGUACCUGACCAAGAAGCCCCGGCUAACUACGUGCCAGCAGCCGCGGUAAUACGUAGGGGGCAAGCGUUAUCCGGAAUUACUGGGUGUAAAGGGAGCGUAGACGGUUAAGUAAGUCUGGAGUGAAA